rnacentral:rRNA from 1 species
UACAGAGGGUGCAAGCGUUGUCGGAAUUAUUGGUCGUAAAGCGCGUGUAGGCGGCCUGGCAAGUUGGGUGUGAAAGCCCUCGGCUUAACCGAGGAAGUGCGCCCAAAACUACUAGGCUUGAGUACCGGAGAGGAUAGUGGAAUUCCCGGUGUAGAGGUGAAAUUCGUAGAUAUCGGGAGGAACACCAGUGGCGAAGGCGGCUAUCUGGACGAGUACUGACGCUGAGACGCGAAAGCGUGGGGAGCAAACAGG